GGAUUAGAUACCCUGGUAGUCCACGCCGUAAACGAUGUGUACUAGAUCGAGGAGGUUUUGACGCCAUCUCGGUCGAAGCUAACGCGUUAAGUACACCGCCUGGGGAGUACGGUCGCAAGAUUAAAACUCAAAGGAAUUGACGGGGGCUCACACAAGCGGUGGAGCAUGUGGCUUAAUUCGAAGCAACGCGAAGAACCUUAUCCAGGGUUUGACAUCUAUGGAUUAACUCCCCGAAAAGGGAGCCACGCUCUUUGAGUGGAACAUAGACAGGUGCUGCAUGGCUGUCGUCAGCUCGUGUUG
rnacentral:rRNA from 1 species